GGGGGCAUAGCUCAGCUGGUAGAGCAACGGCCUUUUAAGCCGUAGGUCGGUGGUUCGAGCCCACCUGCCCUCA
rnacentral:tRNA from 4 species